AUUGAACGCUGGCGGCAUGCUUUACACAUGCAAGUCGAACGGUAACAGGCCUUCGGGUGCUGACGAGUGGCGAACGGGUGAGUAAUGCAUCGGAACGUGCCCAGAGGUGGGGGAUAACGCAGCGAAAGCUGUGCUAAUACCGCAUGUGAUCUGAGGAUGAAAGCGGGGGACCAGGCAGCAAUGUUUGGCCUCGCGCCUUUGGAGCGGCCGAUGUCAGAUUAGGUAGUUGGUGGGGUAAAGGCCUACCAAGCCGACGAUCCGUAGCUGGUCUGAGAGGACGAACCGCCAAACUGGGACUGAGACAAGGGCCCGACUCCCUCGGGAGGCAAGAGUGGGGAAUUUUUCGAAAAGGGCGAAAGGCUGAAUCCGCAAAGCCGCGGGGGGGAAGAAGGUCUUUGGGUUUGAAAACCCUUUUUGUAGGGAAGAAAAAGGGUGUGGGUAAUUCCGGGGGCUUAGGCCGGACCCAAAAAGAAAACCACGGGCAAACUAGUG
rnacentral:rRNA from 1 species